rnacentral:rRNA from 1 species
AGACGUCUACAUUAGAUACCCGGGUAGUCCCAGCCGUAAACUAUGCGCGUUAGGUGUAUCGGUGACCACGAGUUACCGAGGUGCCGAAGGGAAACCGUGAAACGUGCCGCCUGGGAAGCACGGUCGCAAGGCUGAAACUUAAAGGAAUUGCGGGGAGCACCACAACAGGUGGAGCCUGCGGUUUAAUUGGACUCAACGCCGGGAAGCUCACCGGAUAGGACAGCAGAAUGAUUGCCGGGCUGAAGACCCUGCAUGACUAGCUG